rnacentral:rRNA from 1 species
UGCCAGACUCCUACGGGAGGCAGCAGUGGGGAAUAUUGCACAAUGGGGGAAACCCUGAUGCAGCGACGCCGCGUGAGCGAUGAAGUAUUUCGGUAUGUAAAGCUCUAUCAGCAGGGAAGAAGAUGACGGUACCUGACUAAGAAGCCCCGGCUAACUACGUGCCAGCAGCCGCGGUAAUACGUAGGGGGCAAGCGUUAUCCGGAUUUACUGGGUGUAAAGGGAGCGUAGACGGCGAUGCAAGCCAGAUGUGAAAGCCCGGGGCUCAACCCCGGGACUGCAUUUGGAACUGUGUGGCUGGAGUGUCGGAGCGGCAGGCGGAAUUCCUAGUGUAGCGGUGAAAUGCGUAGAUAUUAGGAGGAACACCAGUGGCGAAGGCGGCCUGCUGGACGAUGACUGACGUUGAGGCUCGAAAGCGUGGGGAGCAAACAGGAUUAGAUACCCGUGUA